GGAGCCAAACAGAGAGGAAACAGGACAAGAAGGACACACAGGUCCAGAAGAGUGCCACAGAAAUGACCCAAGGGAUGGAACACCUCCCUACAAGGACAAGCUGAGAGAGCUGGGGCUGUUCAGUCUGGAGAAGAGAAGGCUCUGAGGAGACCUAAGGGCAACCUGUCAGUAUCUAAAGGUGGGCUACAAGAAAGAGGGGGACAGACUCUUUAGCGGGGUCUGUUGUGAUAGGAAAAGGGAAAUGGUUUCAAACUAAAAAAGAGGAGGUUUAGGUUGGAUAUAUAUAUAUAUUUUUUACAAUAAGAGCAGUGAAGCACCGGCACAGGUUUUCCAGACAGGUGGUGGAUGCCCCAUCCCUGGAGACAUUCAGAGUCCAUCUGGACAGGGCACUGAGCACCUGAUUGAGCUGUAGGUAUCCAUAGCAAGAGAGUUGGACCAGGCGGCCUUUAAAUCCUACUUCCAGCUCAAGGAAUUCUAUGAUUCUAUGAUUAUUCUCACAGUUUCAGGAACUCUGCCUAUAAGAUGCCUGUGUGCCACCUCAUCUUAUUCUUGCAAUGUGAUCUUCCUGUAUUUUUUACUCAUAACACCUCUCUGCAAGUUUUCAUUAUUUGUUCUUGAGGUAGUACUAAAAAUAUCUCUUUUUUUUCCCCUCUUCCUGAGCACUUUUUUAAAGAGAGCAGUUUUAUUUCUUGCCCUGAACCCAAUCUCGCUGGAGGGGCAGGAAGGAACAUGCUCACCUGUGUGUCCUAUCCCCACUCUCCACUGUCUGCUUUUGUCUCUGGUGCGGUUUCGCUUCUGCUGGAUGACACAUGAAGGCCAUGUGUGGCCCAGCAGACCAUCUGAACACAGAGGUACUUCAGUGGCUCAACUGGGACAUGUCUCUGCACAUCACACAUUCCCUGUUAGGAAUCAGGUCAGUUUGCACCAAACUGGAGAAAAUCCUGAAGUUGCAGAUAGUGCCCUUUGCUACAAGGCUGCCAUCCCUUUUCCCCUUCGAAACAGCUGAAACGUCUGAAAUAGCAGCUGUUGAAUUUAUUUUCCCUUUACACAGCCUCUUUCUAAGGGAAACUGGACUGAUUAGUACCCAUUUGCUGGGUUCUGCUGCAUUAUGACACUAACAUGUGGCAUCAUUUCAAACCAGGUGGGAUUUUCUUUAAAGCAAUCUUUGGUGACAAAAAAAAUAAUAAAAAAUAAGAAAAUGUAGUUUUAGCUAAGCAAAAUGCAUUUUAAUAUGCAUUUCCCACGGCCCUGAUGUGAGAUGUAUCUUCUAAGUGCAGUACAUCACCUCAUGUCAGCAGUUAGACUCGAUGAUCCUUAUGGGUCUCUUCCAACUUGGGAUAUUCUAUGACUCUAUGAUUCUGCUGCUGUGCUCACACACCACAUGCAGCAGCCAUCUGCAGCCUGAGCUUCUCCUCCUGCUCUAUCAUGAUGUCCAUCCGAGCCGGAGCAAUCCCCCAGCCCUACACCUCACAGCCCCAUCACACUGCAUCCCAGUGCACAGCAGUGGAAGGCAAGGGAGGGGCUUCAAAGGCGCUGGUCUCACAAUGGAGUUGGAGUAACUAGCUGCUGACAGAUUUAUAGGCUUCAGUCCAAUUAAAGUGCUGUUUAUUGCUUUUAGAAGGGGCCUGUUUGUUUCUAAUUUUAGAAGUAGGUUGGGGAAGUGACUAGAAUUGUGAGUAAGGGACCUGAGAUUUUUCACUAGGGCUUCUGGUGCUAUUCAUUAAUAGGAGUUGUUGAUAAUUAUUUAGCCUGGGACCUCAACCAACCACGGCAGGGCAGAAAUUCAGGGCAGCACCCAAAAAGCAGCGAAAGGGCUUUCCUUUGCUCCCCCUGCCCUGCUACAUCUGCUGAUUUUGGUGUGUGUUCGACCAGCCACUUUGUAAAGAGCUCCCCUUGUUCCCUAUGCAUCUCUUCCGCUCUCUCAAGUUGAUUCAUUUUAUGUGCUCCUUUUAAAGAGAAUAAAAAGUACGCCGGUGUGAAUGAUUGUUCCUAUCUCUGGCCAGCAGCGAUAGGAACCUUGGGCCAAUUGCCAGAAGGAAGUGGAGAAAUAACAAAUCUUGCCUGCGAGAUGAAAUCAGAGCUGGAAUCGGGAUUCCUGUGUUGUGCCCCUAAGUUUGCGCAGUUUUGCUGUACAGUGGUGGGAAGCCCCUUUGAUGUCAGCUUCCCACUGUCUAGAAAAGCUGCAAUAUAAAGUUAUUGUAAAACUUGGUUAUUUGUUUGUGCGGUACUUUGAGAGCCGCUGGUGAAAGGCGCUGGAUAACUGCGCGGUUCCCUGUGGUUUGUAAAACAUGCGUUGAUCACCAUUUACCAGAAGGCAAUGACAGUGGGUUUUUAACAGAGAGAGGCCCGACCCAGACACAGCACACUCAUGUUUCCAGGUCCUGGGGAAGUUUAUGUCCUGAACGUGCAUCCAAGCCCAGCGCCUGUGCAGAAGGCAGAAGGAAAACCACAUCCCAGUGUGCCAGCCUUGGGAUCGGGAGGUCCCAUCCUCUGCCGUUGGAGUUUGACCUGGAACUGGGGCAUCCCAUAAGAACUCAUCUUAGAUGGAGACAGCCAGAGCCCAGUGAGCCUCACCUUUCCUUCCUCUGCCCUGAGCCAUCUGCAAUAAUCCUUUAGCUGUGGGCCGAAGACAUAAGAAAUAAACUACAAUAAAAAAGAUAAAAGGGAGCAUAAAUUGAUUUCUGUGGUAGCUGAGGCUUGAAGUAUGCCUAAAUAUCACUUAGAUUGCACACUGUUUGGGCCGUGUGCCAUCCUUUUAUUACUUAUCCAUAUACAGGAGAUUUCAUUGAUGAUCUAUUAAAAAUAUAUACCUCUAUUCUGGUUGAAUCUAGAAAUUUUUUAGCUGAAAACAAGAAUAUUUGAGCUGAAACUGCUGUUUUUUGGUGUUUUUUUUUCCCCCAAACUGAAUUUCUUUUCUUUUCAAAAACAAGUAGAGCAAAGUAGGGUGUUUGGUUUUAAGUUCAAUAAAAGCAAUACUUUUCUUCUUCAGGGCAGUUUUUUGCCUAUAGCUAAUUUUUUUUGGCCAUGUCUAACAUACAGCAUCUCCUUAGAAAUCCAUCUUCCGUAAGCAGGAUUAUUACAGAAAAAUAGAAGUGUGUUGGGAUGCCAGGAGGGGAGAAUAUAAUCUCACCUUUUUCUUUUAUCCUAACAGACAGCCUCAGUGGGCUAAUAGCCAAGAGGGUCGAGGUAUUAAAGCACCCUGCACAGACCACAGCAGAUGGAAAAGAUCUGAGUUGGGCAAAAUGAUCGUUGCUGAAAGUUGCACUGUUACGUGAAACCAUUACAGGAGAGCAGAGCACCAGGAAAGGAGCAUCUUGCCUAUUGGACACAUUUUUGUGAUACUACAAAGGAAUUACUUGCGGUGUCAGUGAUGUAGAUUGCUUCUAGCACUCAAGAAAACCUUCCUUCUCAAAUGAGGGUUGGUCCUGUGGGUCACUCUUAGGAGAAUAUCUAAAAUCAGGCUAUUCUGCUGGACUCAGAGCAGCAGUCAGUGCUGUAGUUGGAAGAAGGCUGAGAACAUGUAGGAAUGGAAGCCCCAAGGGGCUUUGGCUGGGCAGCCAAAGGAAACCCAUCCCACUGCUGCCCUGUGCUUUCCAAGUAGUUUGGAAAGAUCUAACAUGAUGGAGCUGCAGAGCACCACCUGAGCUUUUGGUGGAGAAAAAGUCUCUAGGAUCCUCUCACCAGCUGUGAUUCAAAUAGACAGUAGGCAGGAGGAAGGUCAUACACGGGUUUUAUAGGUUUAGGAAUCUUUCAGCAUUAUCAAGCCAACUGCAUUACUUCAUGGAAUGAUUGGUCUUGUAUUCAUCAGAUGAAUGCUAAUAUUCAUAAACUUCUUCCUAGUCACUUUUAUUAUAGAAUAUGAUGAAAAUAAUAAAUACAUCAAAGGAACUUCCAGGACAUCAUUUGGGCUCCACGACUGACUCACUCUGCAACCUUGGGGGGUUUGUUUAGAAACCAGAUGCAGAGGAGCGCGGCGUCGCCACACAUGGCAGGGCAACAGCAUCCUGCUCCUUAGUGCUGCAAUGGGGAGCAACCUCGCACAGCCCGUGUCAGCACACCAGUGAGCUGAGGUUCUUAGUAAGACAUCCCAGGACCAUAUCUUUAAUGGAGAAUUAGCCUUCCUGUAGUCUCUGCCUGCCUCAGAACACCAAUGCUGCAAGCUGGGAACUGACAGCUGGAUCUGCAGGACACCAACUGCAUCUCUCUGCUCCUGAGACUUGGGGAGAGCCUUCAGGGCUGUGAUAAAGUAGAUGCAACUGAGGUGACCACCUGAUCUUUAAUCUUCUUGGUGAGUAAUUACCAAACUCAGAACAUCUGCACCAUGCAGGCACCAGUGGCUUUUUGCUGUAACAUCCCUUGGGAUGAGAGAUGAUGGCAUUGAGUUGGUCCAGGAAGGCUCAUAGACCUCAACAGUCUCCUUCAGCAUGACUCUGGGGUAAUGAAGAAACAGAAGUUGUGCAUCAGCAGGCUCCUGCACUGUUUGUCCCAUCUGCAAGCCCAGGCUCCUCCUGUCAUGUCUGGGAUGGCUGCAUCUGUGAAGAGUGCAUGGGACCACAAUCAGCCACGAUUCUCAUGUUGGGAUGCUCACAUUCAAGGUGAAGCUGAGGCCUGCAGGAAAUGGUAAUAAUGUGAGAUUCCAGCUGGAAGAAGCUUUCUUGCAGGUGAGUCUGGCAAGAGGCUCAGCGAGCAGCUGGAAGGAGACCAAGAGGAAAAGCAGAAGUGGGCAGGCUCCUGGAAGGCUGGGAAAGAUCCAGCAAAGGACAGAGGCAUCUGUGAGAAGAAUUUCAAUAGAAUUCCAGAGAAUUACAAUGGAAUUACACAACAGCACGGAAAAUUUAUUUCUUGUUGACAUGAAGAGUCUGUUUUUUGUUUUCCCACACUGCUGGAGGAUGGUAGCAGAAACAUUAAUGGAUGUGGAUCAGCAACAUCGCUCACAGACUGGGAGAGGAGGAAGAAUAUCCUGCCCUUUACCACUGAAGCUUAAUACCAACUUACAGACCAAUCCAUGGCACUCAUAUUCCUGUCAGCAGAUGUGGAUUUUCCAGCAGCAAAUAAGCCACUAAUGGUACAAAGUCUUUCUCAACAUGGUGUAACACUUGACCAACCCAGGCCAAAAAAUGAAGUCAACUCAUGCAUGUUACUGUAUCACAUCAGGCCAAAGAGCUUUGUCCUUCUGUCACCUAGCAAGGACUGUGUAUGGGGGACUCUUGUGUGUAUGUGUUACAAACCACUGCUGGUCACAUUAACAGAAUAAGAAACCAGAAACAUAAUGGAGGUCAAGUAUGAAGUGUUGUGAGCCUCCAAAUGUAGAGGUCAGGCAUACAAUGAAAACAACAAAACAAAAUUGUAAUGCUAGUUGCAAGCUGCGUGGAUAAUCAAUACCAGAAUGUGAUUCCUUUUAAUCAGGGGUUAUUUUAGAUGGCAUCAGAGGGGAAAAAAAAAAUUAAGUCUAAAUUUGCUAAUUGGGAAGUUGAAAUCCAUGGCUGACAGCAGGCUCCCAGGAAAGAAGUAGGUUGCAUGCAGUAAGAGUAGUGUUCAGCAACAAGGUCACAGCAGUUAGAUCACCAGUGAGAUAGAAGUCCACACUAAGGUAAUUCUUGUGAAUUCUUUUAUAUGCUCGAAGCAGAACAAGGAUAUUGAAGUGUCCUAUCUGGAGGAUUCUCUCCGUGGCACAGCACUCAUAAAUGAAAGCUCUCUGAUCUCAGCCUCUGAAUUGAACCAACAGCUAUCCUAGGCCUAGUAAGAUGGAAAGGCAGCUAUUUCCCAGAACUUGAAUGAUAUCCCCCUCAAAAAGUAUUUGAGCAACUGUUCUUUUGCAUUAAACUGUCCUCAGCUGAGGUGAGGUGGGUUAUUGUCAUAGUAGUGUGUGUGUGUGUGUGUAUUUUUUUUACCUAAGUUUUUUGAUGUCUCUGAGUUGCCUCUUGCCUCAGCACAUCCUUUGCAGCAGGCAGGGUGCUGGGUGAGCCAUUGGGCUGCAGUGUUCAGUCAUGCUGUUUUUCUCUACUCGCUGUGGAUGCUGUCAGUUGGCACGUGGAGGCUCUCUGUUGAUGAAUGAGUGCUGUGAAGCAGAUGGGAUGGAAACAGAGAUGUUAUUGACAUUCAGUCAGACCCCAGUGAGCAGCUUUUUGGCACCAAUGGGCUGAGACAUGCCCACUUUUUAAAAGCUGGUCUUUUUUCAUUGACAUGACCCCGUGUGACAGCUCCCUCUCCUGAGAUUUCUUCUGAUUUGAUUUAUGGAGUCUGAAUUUCAGCUGCAUGCUACUUGGGGCACAGACCGAUGUGAUGCUCCAUGUGAGGUGCCCAGACAAAACAACAGAUUUAAAAUGUCAUCCAGCAGCCCCAGAAAGACUUGUCAGAGCUGGAGGGGACAGAUUCAUUGCUUGCAGGCAAGGGGAAAUGAGGAAAUGCAGGAGUUGUGCUGUAGGAAAAUCUCCCCCUAAACUGCUUUCUCCCAUGUACGAUUGCCUAUGCUGAGCCUAUUCAAGGAGUCUUUGGGAAAUACCUAAGAGGAUUUUUCCUUUCAGAUUAAGUGAUUUCUGGAUGAUUUUACCCACAGCACAUCAGCAGGGGGUGAGUUUAGCUGCACUUUGCCUGCACCAGUGAAAGAGAGGCUCAUUCUUUUGAAAAUCAUCCACUAAAUUAAUGAAGACGUGAAUGUACAUUAGGCUGAACCUAUUUAGCUUAUUAAAGGCUCCUCUCUCAGAUCAUUUCCUUCUGUGUGUCUUUACAUCGCAGGCUCUUCUGUUUGUAAUUUCCAAAGUUAGGGAGGAAAAAAAAAAAGAUUGUAUUUUUUAAGAGGUUAUUCUCAGCUUUCAGCAGUCAGAAACUGUAUGUACAGUAGUCAGCCUGAAAUCCCAUAGGAAGAUGGAAGACCUCGCUGUGCUCAGUUAAUGCAGUAAUGAUGACUGUUGCUCUCUGCUCAAACAUAACUUGAGGUGAGUGCCACGAUUAACAAGGAGUAAGAACCUAAAUGAAAUGUCAAUUUCUGUUUUGUUGUGUUGAAUGAAUUACCAGGACCUUCAUGAUCUGAAACUUUGGCUAGGAUCAUUCUGCUCUCCUGGGGAAAAUAAAAUGUUUGGUCAGUGCCAGUUCCUUUGACUCCCAUUGUUUUCACUGGCUUUGGGAACAGAUCCUUAUUUUUGCUUUAAUUCUCUUUUUCACCCUUAUAGCUAAUGAAUAGAGUGAUGCAAGAAAUCUGCAAGGCAGUAUUGAAGGGAUGCUGCACUGAAGGAAAACAAGGAAGCUACUAAGAUUACAAGAAACUCAUUUUUUGAGGAUGGAAUGGGAAAAUAUUCUAUGAGAAUGUUGUCUUUGUGAAAGCUAAUUUGAGUGAUCUGGGUAUGGGAAGCUGAGGGUGGGGAGGUAGCGUGGGCCAUGAGUGCUCUUUUUCUUCACCUAUCUAUAGAUACUCACCUUUUCUGCUGCUACAGGGCUGAGAUUCCCAAGUACUUUCAUCAAGAUUUUGUGCUGCUCAAACCUAUUGCUCUGGUCAGAAAGACAAUGGCUCCUUCACUGCAGAGCCCAGAACUCCACUUAAGAUAUCAUGAUAUAUCGUUUAUGAAUCUGUAGAUAGCCCAGGAAUUAGGCCCCUUCCAACUGUUCCCAUUGACGUGAUGACAAAGUAUGACGUUCUUUUGCAUUCCUUAAGUACCUGCUGUACAUUUGUUGAGUAGAAUUAAAAAAGAGCUCUCCAGGCCUAUACGUGAUGAUGGGUGUCAAACAGCCUUGCUAGCACCCUGACUACCUGCAGUGUGGAGAAGUGGGAGCCUUCCUAAUUCUGCUCCCAGCUCCUCGCCUGCAGCAGCCCAUAUGGAACAGGAGAGCCAGGAGCUGGGCGCCUACUGCAGCUGCAGAGAAAGGCCUUUGCCUGCUCUGGAUGUCAUCUACAGUAUUUUGUAUUAAGGGAUCUUGCUUUGAUAACUUUUUACUUGUUUUUCCAUUUUUUUUUCUUUUUUUUUUCUCCCCAGCUACACUUCUGUCAAAUCCCAGUUUCCAUAUGAGGGUUUGCACCAAGUUGAGUGAAAGCACUAAGAUAAUCUAUUUGUAACAAAAUACUUUUCCUUUGCUUAAUAAACUUAGUGCUUCCCUGUAAAAACAAGCUCUUUAAUUACUCAGGUGUGGCUACUCACCGUAUUAAAUCACCACACUACCUCCUUAGCGUAGUAAUACAGUUCUUUACAAUUUCAUUUUAGAAUCACUCUUCUGUUGCUGACAUUUAAUUUUGCACAGGAGUAACACUAUCGUAAAAGAGCCCAGGUGCAAAAAUAUUAUGUUUUUAGCAUUGAUGUACUGUGCAUUACUAUUAAAAACUAGAAAAACUAUCAGUGCUGCUCCAUAUCAACUGGGAUUACUUAGCUUAAAUGUUUAAGAGGAACCAUUUAAGAGCUCUGUUGCAGUACAGGUGUCUGUGCACCUCUUCUACACCUGGCCAUUUGAUGAUACACUUUCAUAUGUGAGAUUUCAAACUUUCUCACAGGUAAAUAUAUAUUUUUUAAUGUUUCUGCUCAAAGUUGCAAACAAAGUUUUUUCAGUAGGGAAGAGGAAGAAUGAGUUGCAUGUUGAGUGAAUGCUAUUUUGUCAGGUUUGUAUCCAUAGUUUUUGGAUGAUGUUUUGGCUUCCUUAGGCUCUUCUAACAGUAGCAAUUACAACUGCAGUGGCUUGCAGUUCUUCUGUCUUCGUUUCUUGUGGUAGUGACUCUUUAUAAUAGAACUAGAAAGACCUUGAGUUUAACUGAAACCUGCAGCAAGAUGUGCUAGAAUUAAUCUUUCCAACCUUUGACAGUACAGUUUAAUAAUCAAGUAACCAGUAGCUAAGUGGUUAGGCAUAUACUUUCACACAUGGAGAAACCAUAACCUCCAGAGAAUGGUUCGUGUCAUUCUGAUGUAGAUUUUUUUAUAGAGUAGAAAACACCUUCAAUAAGGCUGCAAUGGGAGCACUGCGCUGCCAUACAACCAAAGCUCCAUUCCUCAGGCAGAAAAGUUGGAGAUAAAGAGGAGAAGCAGCAGUUUUCUGUCCUUUGCCAUUUGUCCAGAGCUCUGUUGCUUCCAGGUUUCUCUUUCAUCUCUUUUCUGUUGGCCUUGUAGCACAUCUGGAUCUCUGAGAUUUCUCUUCAUGUAAAUAUUGCCCUUAUUUUUUUCUCCUCGAUUUCUCUCAGAAAGUUUCUGCAUGUUCUUAUCUGCAGCUCCAAUCUCUGUUUGCUGCUCUUACUCUUGAGCUGCAAGUGGUUUGCAUGGUGGUUUCUCCUGUUGUGUUUUUAUCGGGCAUCCUCCAGUAACAAUCCUGCAUUCACCCUGUUUUGCCCAAGGUUCUGUUUACCUUCUCUAUCUGCUCUGGUCCUCAUGUUUUAAGGCUGUUGGAUUUCUCAUAAUUGCAAGGUUUGGGCCUCUUUCAAAUGAUUGGUUUUUUAUCUAACCGAGUGUACAUUUCUCUUUCCUCCUUUCAUUGGACUGUUCAUUUUUAAAACUCUUUUAAUCAAAUGAAAGGAAUUAAAAAUGAGGAGGGAAAACCCAAGAAUUUAAAUUCCAGUCUUUUUUUCUACCACAAAGAACCAAGAAUUCUUUCUAUUUAAGACAGUCACAGAUUUUUAUCAUUGUGACUGGUUUGCAUUAACUUUGUAAGUAGAAAGACAUUUAGCAAAGUUGAAAGCUGUCUCUUAUGUGAUGACAGACUUUGCCUGUUUUAGUAUUUUUACUGGUUAACUACCAAAUCCUGAGUCUACUGCUGUCUAUGGCCAACAUUUAGUGUUCACUAAAAGAAACAUGACUUAGAAAUAUAUCUUCCACACUAAGCUUUUGAAAACACACAGUAUUUUGAGUUAUAGAAACAACAGUUUUAAUACAUGAAAAGAUCUGUUACCACAAGGCCUUGAGAGAAAGAAACAGCAGAAAAGCGUGCAAAGGGUCAGGAAGAAAGCAUGAUAUGUAGUCAGCUGCUUCAUCUAUAUACAAGACAACCUAAUUAGUACUCAUGCAUGCAACUAAAGCAUCAUGAACUGGUUAUAUGGAUCAACAAACUGGUUAAACUAACAAUGGCACUAUGUUGGGAUGCAGUAACACCAAGUGGGAUUUUGUUUCUGGAAGUCAGGGCUCAGUUGAUGCCUGUUGAAACCCUAUAGGGUUUGCCAUCACUGCAGCACCAUAGCCUAUUUAGCAUUCAACAAAAGUCUCAGCUGGACUUUCCCAUUUCAAGUCACACAAGUCAGGUUUGGGUAGAUGACUGAGGGGAGAGAAAAGCUCCUCCAGUGUUCCAAUUCUUAUCUGUCUGGAUUUUUCUUUUUGCAGUUUCUUGGGAGGGGUUUUCUAAUACAAAAGUUCUCUGAUGUCCUUCUACGCUGCUGCUUCCUUUUUUACCUGACCUUGUAGGAUCAUCGAAUGUCCUGAGCUGGAAGGGACCCACAGUGAUCUUUGGGUCCAACUCCUGGCUCCACCCAGGACUGACCAAACAUCAGACCAUAUGACAGAGCUUCUUGAUGCUUCUUGAACUCCAGCAGCUUGAUGGCAUGGCUGCUGCCCCAGAGAGCCUGUUCCCAGAAAGGCUCCAAUAUUAAAGUUGAAAACACUUAUAGUGGGGCCCAUAGAUCAAACUCUAUUAAAUUCCAAAGGAACCUCAUUCACUGGAGUAGCUGUCUUAGAAGGCAACACAGGGUCUUACCUUGAGUUGUACCUCAUAUUCACUCUUGAGACUUUCCAAAGUCACCUGGAAGGCUGGGGACCUGCUGGUAGGCACCAAGCACAUCCUCAGGCUGCUGCUCACCAUCUUGGGCUGCCCUUGAGGCUCUGGGCUGAGGACUCUAAGAUGGGUUGGUCAAACCUAAUGUUAUUCAACCUCUCCUGCUCUAUAAGACCGCAACUUUGGCUUUCAGUCUUCUCUCUUGCUUCUACUCAGAUACAACUGUUACUAAUUGCACUCUUAGUUUAUUGUUGGAGAAAGCUUUCCCUAUUUAAUCGUUAGAAACAGGGAAUCUGUAAUGUAUUCAAAACUGCGAAAACUUAAUCCUGGUUAAUUUUUUACUCUCUGAGAAAAGUCAUUAUGACUGAUCUAUUCUUUCAAUCAAGUACACCCAUUUCGUUUAUUUUUAACAUUCCUUUCAUUAUGUUAUGAGCUUCUUAAGGAUAAUGGAAUAAUUGCUUGUCUCUUUGAUUGAUCUUUGUUUUGAAUGGAAACUUUAAUAGUGUUAUUUCUAGAGCAGGCUUACGGUAUAAUACAAUUAAAGGAAUACAUGACACUAAAACACUUUAAAGCACAUGUUCCAAUAAUUAGACCUACAAUCCUCGUCAGCCAGAGGACCAGGCAGGGAGGAGUUCCUGUUACAAAUUAUGAGGAAAGGAUUCGUGUUAUUUUGCUUAAUAAAGCAAAAAAAAUUAGUAAUGACAUUUAUUAAUAGCUGUAGCGAUCUGUGAACAAACUCCUUCUCCAGGCUGCUCUGGAAAGGCAUUCUCAUGCUACAGAGAAUCCCAAAUUCUGGUAUUUUACUUUUUAACACUAAAACAUGCCAGAAGUAUGGUAACUUGGGUUCUAAGUUCAUCCUGCGUGAAAGAUUUUGAGGUUCCUCACAUCUGAAAAUAUACAGUCCUCCUGGAUCUCCUUCUGCUGAAGACCCCUUCCAGCUGUUCCCUGACCUCUCAGCACCCCUGGUUCCCUGUCAUCAGGACCAGCACCUGGCCAAGAGCAUGGCUUCCUCUGCACUGCCUGAGUGCAAAGUGGAAGCUGACAAACUGCACAGAUUUGCAGGAAAAUUCCGGAGUGCUCCGAAAGUGAUGCCUCCUAUUUUAUUAUGUUGGCCCAUGAUAUCAGAGGCAGAUGACGGCAGUACAGCAGAGAAGGCUGAACCUCCCCAUCAAUAUUAAUUACAUUUUGUUGCUGUGUGAUGGCAGCAGAGGGCAGUCUGUCACAAUGACAUCUGACAUGUAGAAUCAUCUCACGGCAGGAGCCAUGUCCCCGUGCUGGACUCCCUCAUUUUGUAGAUGAUUUUGGUUUUAAAUUUUGGUUUUUUGGGAGAUUUUUUUAACCUGAAUUCCCAAUGACAAGACUGAGAUCCCAGGUAAUCACAUUAUUCAGUUUGUCUUGGUUUGUUUCAUUUUGGUUUUGCCCAGUUGCAAUUGUACUCGAUUUAAAUACUUGGGCUUUGGUAGAGAAGGAUAGAAGGGUGGAAUUUUUUUACUUCUUUGAAUUCUAAGCUCAAUCAUUUUUUCCUUAUUCAAGAUCAGGGCAUUAGGAAAUACUACUUCUCUGAAAGGGUGGUCAGGCACUGGAAUGGGCUGCCCAGAGAGGUGGUGGAGUCACCGACCCUGGUGGUGUUCAAAGAGCGUUUGGAUAUUGUGUUGAGGGACAUGGUUUAGUGGGAACCAUUGGUGAAGGGCGAAUGGUUGGACUGGAUGAUCCUGUGGGUCUUUUCCAACCUUAGCGAUUCUAUGAUUCUAUGAUCAGUGAGAUCACUUAGAGGCUCAUCAGCUUCAUUGGACUUCGCUGGGAACACAGCCUGUCUUCUGACAUGGAGGAAGGGAGAAGCAAGCUGGGGUGCUUGGGAUGCUCUGUGAGGAAGGAAAGGCAUUGUGGUGGCUCUUUCCAGGUGCUGAGUUUGUUUCCCAAGGAACCGAGCUGGAUCACCCAAUAGCUGCUACAUGGCAAAAUCAUUCAUUUUUAAUUCUAUGUGAUACCAGCAUCGUUAUAUUGUGUAUAGCCCAAUCCCCAGAUGGAAUGCAAUCAUGUUGUAGCUCAUUUUUAUAUCAGAUGAGGAUUCACUAGAGAUAAGACUCUUUAGCAUCCACCCACACGUGGUACUAACAGCGAGGAACCUGUUUCACAAUGUCUUACAGCAUGGUGCAGUAACUUGAGAAGAACAGUGAACUUAAGUGAACCUUGAGAACCUAGGUGAACAGGGGAGAUCUAGUUAAUACUCUGUACUUUUCCAAGCUGGAAUUAUGGCUUUUAACAUCUCUGUUCUUGAGAGGCUGGGCAGCUGGCUGAAGCUGGCCAGCAUUACUUUUGAAGUAUGGAUCUUCUAUUCCUAUCAGACAAGUCAAGGCUACAGGCACAUCUAACAAGCAACUCAAGCCUGGAACUAUCUGGAUUUCUAAGUUCAUGAUGGAAAAGGGUAUUGUCCUUGUUUUUCAGGAUGCUUAUAAGCCUACGUUAGUAAACACAGAUGAUGGCAAUUAAGGCUUUGGGAGAAUCUUGGCAUGUUGGAACUGACCGCUUUUCUGAUUGAGAACUGAGAUAGUGGGAGAACCCUUUAUCCCCUGGUUGAGUAAGAACAUCUUGAAUCUGUUUAUGUGUGUAUGAAAAAAAUUAAUUAAACCUCUACGGGCCGGAUUCCUCAAGGAUGAUAAAUGCUCAGCUGGCUUUAGGAUCCUGCACAAAAGUAUGAGUUAACCUGGUGAGCUUUUGGAUUUCAGAUGAAACUGAGGGGCAAGGCUAUGCGGCACACACAGUGAAACGUCACCACUAGGAGGUCACAUUCUUUCCAUGUACAGAGCUGGCGAAAGCACCCAGUUGGGUGCUUUCUGCUUUGUGUUAUUAAUAAAUUCAACAAAUGUUACCCCUCUUGUGCACUGAUUUGAUGUCCCAGCACUCACCCAUCCACGUUCCCUGGAGAAUGGGAGCUGAGGAAGGACCCUCAGCUUAAUGGAGACACAGUGUUGUUCAAGUUUUGAGUUGCUUGAAUGAUUUGUGUUUUCUCUCUCAUCGCACCAUUCCCUAUAGAGCAAGAUGCUGAUGAUAGUUAUUUCCUAGAGGCAGGAUUCAAAUGCCUUUCCCCAGGGAGAGCUGAACCUGCAUCUCCCACAUCUUGGCUGAGUGCCUUAAGUACUUGGUAAAAGAUCUGGAUAUCCUCUUCAGUGCUGUAAACCUGGGCCAAAAAUAGUUUUCAGCUGCAACUACAUGACUAAUUUGACCUGAGACUACUUUUGUGGGGCAAAUGUUUUAUUCACAGAAGAAAAAUACUUGCCCUCCCCUAUGAAGAAGAUAGAAGGGAGAAAGCUGUGCGACAGGAAAUGAGUCAUAAGAUCUUAUAGACAACGUUAGGACUUGACACUAAUACACAGCACCUUUUCCCAAGCUACAGUUGAAAAACUCAGAGUUCUCCUCCCCAUCUCCUCUCACACAUAACUACGUCGAUGCUUACAUGUUGGUUUUCAGGAUAUCUCAAAGUCAUUACCAUACUUCCGGAAAACAAAGUGAGGUAAUGAUUAUGUACAUUUUAUAGCUGCAAACCCAGAGAGACGGUGCAGGUACAUGUCUGAAAUACACAAUGUCCUUCCAAAAAAAACCAUCACCAAAAUAUGUAAAAUAUUUUGCUUCCUACUCCUAUGUAUCACAACAACAGCUUAUGGGUGGUGUGGGGGUUGGGAAAGAGGAACAGAGCUUAAACUACCACUUUGGAACACCAAUUUCUCAGUUUGUUUCUGCUACAUCGAUGCAUUCAUAGUUUCACAUCACGAGCUGAGAAGUUUGCAAAGCACUUUGUUCUGUGCUGCUUCGGUGGGUGGAAGUACUGGUUCUAGGUUUUAAAAGGCAUUUCAAGUUAGGCUCCAGACAUGAAUAAAUAAUCCAAUUUUCACAUUUGCUAUUCAGCAGCUUCUCAUAGCAUAUGUAGUUGCAGCUGCAGGGCCAACAUUUUUGUAAGUCAGGAUACUUACUCAGGGACUUGAAUGCAGGCUUGAGAUGAGGAUUUGCAAAGGGAGCUAGGUGCCCAGUUUCUAUUGAGAAAAGAUUUAGGGGCUUCACGAGCAUAACUUAUAGGUGUCCAUUAGGAAAAUCUCAGCUUUGCUGUAAAUGCCUCUGGAUUCCUUAGAUUUCAUUCAUUUGGCAGCCAGGCACCUAGCUCUUUUGUACAAUCUGAAAGAAAUUUGCAGAGUUCUGUAUAACUUCUGUAGUCUUUCUCUGGAAAAUGAAUAAAUCAUUCAAAUGGAAAUACUGAAAUAGCUGGGCACGUAUCCAGAUACAGUAUGCCUAGCUUAGUGGCAAAAACUUACGGCACACAUCCUGUAUUGUCAAGGACACUGAAUGUUUUGGCUGCCCUAAUAGAAAAACAAUAAUUCAAUCAUGUAUUAUAAAGGAAUUUCCUGGAGACGUUUGGCUUUGCUCAAUCACCCUACUAGAUUUGUUCUUAAUGUGGAAGAAUGGCCCGUUACAUUCAUUACAUACAUUAGACCGGCUAUGUUUAUUUCUAGAUGGGUUUCCUUAAGGUUGUUGAAGUGCCUAACAAAUACAUUCUGAAGAUGCCUUUAUACGUAAUAACAACAGCACUGCCUUGCACCACUGCAUGCUCAGUAAUUGUUUCUCACAGUGGAGGGGCACAUCUAACACAACUAGCUGUGAGUACUUCAUAAAUCAACAAUAACAGACCCACGGGGCGAGGAUCAUUGUUUCGUUUUGCUGACAGGGACCCACAAUACAUUGGAUAUUACGCAGAGACAAGAGAGGAUGUGUGAGAAGAUAGUUAUGCUAAUAGACACUACUUCCCCCCUUCCCCUCUGGAAGGGAACAUUCCCUUAACAUUACACAAGUCGAUGUGUCCUCAGCUGUUCC
rnacentral:lncRNA from 1 species